rnacentral:rRNA from 1 species
GAUGAACGCUGGCGGCGUGCCUAAUACAUGCAAGUCGAGCGAACGGACGAGAAGCUUGCUUCUCUGAUGUUAGCGGCGGACGGGUGAGUAACACGUGGAUAACCUACCUAUAAGACUGGGCUAACUUCGGGAAACCAGAGCUAAUACCGGAUAAUAUUUUGAACCGCAUGGUUCAAAAGUGAAAGACGGUCUUGCUGUCACUUAUAGAUGGAUCCGCGCUGCAUUAGCUAGUUGGUAAGGUAACGGCUUACCAAGGCUACGAUGCAUAGCCGACCUGAGAGGGUGAUCGGCCACACUGGAACAGAGACACGGUCCAGACUCCUACGGGAGGCAGCAGUAGGGACUCCUCCGCAAUGGGCGAAAGCCUGACGGAGCAACGCAGAGUGAGUGAUGAAGGUCUUCGGAUCGUAAAACUCUCUUAUUAGGGAAGAACAUAUGUGUAAGUAGCUGUGCACAUCUUGACGGUACCUAAUCAGAAAGCCACGGCUAACUACGUG